rnacentral:rRNA from 1 species
UUUGACGGAGAGUUUGAUCCUGGCUCAGGACGAACGCUGGCGGCGUGCUUAACACAUGCAAGUCGAACGAUGAUGUGGUGCUUGCACCAUGGAUUAGUGGCGAACGGGUGAGUAAGACGUGAGUAACCUGCCCUUGACUCUGGGAUAA